UACGGAGGGUGCGAGCGUUGUCCGGAAUCACUGGGCGUAAAGGGCGCGUAGGCGGCCUGAUAAGUAGGGGGUGAAAUCCUGCGGCUUAACCGCAGGGCUGCCUUCUAAACUGUCAGGCUAGAGCACAGUAGAGGCAGGUGGAAUUCCCGGUGUAGCGGUGGAAUGCGUAGAGAUCGGGAAGAACAUCAGUGGCGAAGGCGGCCUGCUGGGCUGUUGCUGACGCUGAGGAGCGAAAGCCAGGGGAGCAAACGGG
rnacentral:rRNA from 1 species